rnacentral:rRNA from 1 species
GAUGAACGCUGGCGGCGUGCCUAAUACAUGCAAGUCGAGCGAACAGACGAGGAGCUUGCUCCUCUGACGUUAGCGGCGGACGGGUGAGUAACACGUGGAUAACCUACCUAUAAGACUGGGAUAACUUCGGGAAACCGGAGCUAAUACCGGAUAAUAUAUUGAACCGCAUGGUUCAAUAGUGAAAGACGGUUUUGCUGUCACUUAUAGAUGGAUCCGCGCCGCAUUAGCUAGUUGGUAAGGUAACGGCUUACCAAGGCGACGAUGCGUAGCCGACCUGAGAGGGUGAUCGGCCACACUGGAACAGAGACACGGUCCAGACUCCUACGGGAGGCAGCAGUAGGGAAUCUUCCGCAAUGGGCGAAAGCCUGACGGAGCAACGCCGCGUGAGUGAUGAAGGUCUUCGGAUCGUAAAACUCUGUUAUUAGGGAAGAACAAAUGUGUAAGUAACUAUGCACGUCUUGACGGUACCUAAUCAGAAAGCCACGGCUAACUACGUG